CGCCCACCGGAUGCGGAAAGGUCCGUUGAGAAGUUAACGAGCGCACGUGGAGUUACUUCUUUGGCAUACCUGAUAGUGAGAAAUACAUCACAAAAUAAAGCCACAUUCCCAUGCUCUGAGAUUCUUAUGCACCUCCUCAACAAUACAUGUGACGUGUAUGUGGCAGUGCAAGCAUUGUGUUACCAGAGAGAGCAGCAGGUACAAAUUACUUCAACAUUAUAAACUACAUCAUCAUUACGGAAUAGGUCAACAUUAUCUGUGCAUAUAUGUUAAUUGUCCGUGCACAUUUAAGACUUGGAGUGGACUGAACACUCAUGUCUAUAAAGCUCAUUCAUCUCAGUUUACACAGACAGCUUCAAGUUCAGUAACUUUUAAAUGUGAGUUAUGUGACUGCAGUGACGUCUUCUCUGAGAGAGAUUUUUUUGUCCAUAUUGGAACACAUCUGCGAAGUAACGAGACAGUUAGUUGUGUGUUUCUUGGUUGCC